ACUGAAUCCAUAGGUUAAUGAGGCGAACCGGGGGAACUGAAACAUCUAAGUACCCCGAGGAAAAGAAAUCAACCGAGAUUCCCCCAGUAGCGGCGAGCGAACGGGGAGGAGCCCAGAGCCUGAAUCAGCAUGUGUGUUAGUGGAAGCGUCUGGAAAGGCGCGCGAUACAGGGUGACAGCCCCGUACACAAAAGCGCAUGUGCUGUGAGCUCGAUGAGUAGGGCGGGACACGUGGUAUCCUGUCUGAAUAUGGGGGGACCAUCCUCCAAGGCUAAAUACUCCUGACUGACCGAUAGUGAACCAGUACCGUGAGGGAAAGGCGAAAAGAACCCCGGCGAGGGGAGUGAAAAAGAACCUGAAACCG
rnacentral:rRNA from 1 species